GUACGGAAGCGCAAGUGACGCAGCACGUUAGCGUGAGGAGCCGAGUCGGCAGAACUCAGAUUUACGCUGACUGAAGCGGCUGUGUAGAUCUCUUCCCCCGUUGCAGAGAACAGAGACUUGCUGCUUCCCCCCACAAAUACAGCCCUGACUGCAUCAGUGAGUAAUGUAUAGAUGGAAGAAUACUUGUAAACAAGAUGAUCAUGAAAUCCCGAGGGGCACAGAGGGAAAAGCCUAUUGGAAUGGUGAUGAUGGAGCUGCAAAACAAGUCUAAAUUUGUUACUGCCUAUUUUAUAUCGCUGGAUCUGCUCAAAGAAAUCUGCCCUGUUUUCUCUUUUAGUUAGUCACAAUAUCAUCUUUCUAUCAUCUUGUAUUGGGCCUUAGCAUCUUGAGAGAUCAGUUCCUUGAGGUCAGUAAGUGUUCUGUGAUUUUAAAUUCUUAUCCUUACUAUCCACUGUGACAAACUGAUGAAUAAAGCGGAGUAUUACUAGUGA